UACGUAGGGUGCGAAGCGUUGUCCGGAAUUAUUGGGCGUAAAGAGCUCGUAGGCGGUUUGUUGCGUCGGCUGUGAAAUCCCGAGGCUCAACCUCGGGCCUGCAGUGGGUACGGGCAGACUAGAGUGCGGUAGGGGAGAUUGGAAUUCCUGGUGUAGCGGUGGAAUGCGCAGAUAUCAGGAGGAACACCGAUGGCGAAGGCAGAUCUCUGGGCCGUAACUGACGCUGAGGAGCGAAAGCAUGGGGAGCGAACAGG
rnacentral:rRNA from 1 species